UUACGGGCAUCUCUCAAGUUUCUGUAGCCUGCAGUUUUAUUGCAUGAUCUGUUGAUUUGCCUUCCUCUGGAUCUCGGUGUCGGCGCGGCUAACACCAUGCGAACACUGUACUAUGUUGAUGUUAAAAUUCAUUAGAUCAUCACGUGGUCUUGUGUUGAUACAAUUUUUCAAUCUGUAAAAAAAUUACAAUUCAUGAAUGGUACUUACGUAAACAGAUGUCUUAAGUUCCAGACGUGCCUUUGAUGGCAUUACAGUAACUGACAGCCGACCACACGAUCACCAUGGCUUUGGAUAUAGGGCCUAAUCCCAGCUUAAGAUGUUCUAAUUGAUUUCUGCAUUACUGCCAUUAUUUAACACAUGAGAGUUAGUUUUAACAAAUAUAUUAAUCCAUUUAAUGUAAUUAUCAUGGAAGAUGGCCACCCCAAAUUAAUUAACCCUUACAGGGAGCUGCACCCGGUGGGCAAACAAGCACACAUAUGAUCCACAAACAAGAUCAGCUAAAGUCUUUUGUUGGUGCCUCGAUCAAAGCUUUGCCUUAAAUGAUAAGAUGUGAGUCCAGAUAAUCAGGCCUGUCCAUGUUAGGGACGAUGAUGUCUCAUGUCCUGAACUAAUACUUAUACUGUAUGGGCCGCAUUUAAUAUGCCCAACAAGCGUUUCUCUCUCUAGCAUCCUGCAGGACCUAUUAUGAUACUGUUUGAAGGAGUUACAGGAUGAUCCAAGAAGAGAAUGUAGAGAAGAGUGAGGAGAGAGAGGGAUGGAUCAAAAGAGGAGAAGAGCAAGUCAAACCCUCAUCAUUUCCACUGUCGUUCUUAAUCCUUUCCCCAAUAUGUGGCCUCUUUUCUGUUUUUUCUGUGUUUUGCAGCAGCACAAGGCCAAGCUGGUGUCCUGCAAGCUGAGGAGGAGGCUUCCAUAUGGAAGACCACAACAUUAGACAUGAUGCCUGAAGAGGAGGAUGCCAUCUUGGAUGGAUGACUUCAGGCCUCCUACGAGUCGGAUUAGGAUGAGCAGUUAGAAGAUAAAUGGAUGGAUGCAGAGCCUCCUGUUGAAACACAUACAUGGCCUGGAGGAUACCUGCCGUGGCUGUGGAUAGACCAUAGACCAAAUAAUGUGACCCAGUGAGGAAUCCAGCGAGGCCUGGACUGCAGGAGAAGCUGGUGUGGUAGUGAGGAGAGAAAGAGUAAAGAACAAAGGUCACCGAAGGCGGACUGACGGACUGCUGUAUCCCCAGAAAGAGAUGCUUCCAUCUGCCAGUCAACAUAUAAUAAUAUAAUAUAAUAUAAUAUAAUAUAAUAUAAUAUAAUAUAAUACUCUGGGUUAAUAGGUAUGUGUAAUUUUUACAUUAUGCUAACAAAUAAAGGAAGUGGUCAUUUUCAUAUACAUACCAAGCUUAAAGUUUGCCUGGCUGUAAAAUGCUCAGACCACUGGAAACAGAUAAUUCUUUCCAGUCAGGAAAUGGAAAAAUAGUUGGGCGAAAAAUUGCAAUUCCUAAAGUUACCUGUAGGAGGAGCUACCUGUGAAGUUUUCGAUAGUAUUGAGCCUUUUAGUGAAUUGUAUCUCUGUACACUGUAGAGUGUAAUUUAAUUUUAA